rnacentral:ncRNA from 1 species
CUUUACAAUGGUGUAAAGACUUAUGCGGAAAUAAACCACCGCGUACCGAGUAGAACUUGGAUUGGACUCCUAACUAAAGGAGAAAACAAAUG